rnacentral:rRNA from 1 species
AUUGAACGCUGGCGGCAUGCUUUACACAUGCAAGUCGAGCGGCAGCGCGGGGGCAACCCUGGCGGCGAGCGGCGAACGGGUGAGUAAUGCAUCGGAACGUGUCCCGUAGUGGGGGAUAACGCCGCGAAAGCGGCGCUAAUACCGCAUAUGCUCUACGGAGGAAAGGGGGGGACCCGCAAGGGCCUCCCGCUAUGGGAGCGGCCGAUGUCCGAUUAGCUUGUUAGUGAGGUAAAGGCUUACCAAGGCGACGAUCGGUAGCUGGUCUGAGAGGAUGAUCAGCCACACUGGGACUGAGACACGGCCCAGACUCCUACGGGAGGCAGCAGUGGGGAAUUUUGGACAAUGGGGGCAACCCUGAUCCAGCCAUGCCGCGUGCGGGAAGAAGGCCUUCGGGUUGUAAACCGCUUUUGUCCGGAAAGAAAAGGCAUCUCCCAAUACGGGAUGUCCUUGACGGUACCGGAAGAAUAAGCACCGGCUAACUACGUGCCAGCAGCCGCCGUAACAC